GUGAAACCAGUAUGUUAAAAGGUGCUCAUCAGACUGCAUGGCUUUCACCUGGUCAGUCAGUCAUGUUUUUCCAUAGGAGAAGAGAGGAGGACAGACUUGAAUAGUCAACUGAAGGGGGGGGAAAGAAAAACCCAGUGUAUUUGACAGCUAUAGUUUAAUCCAAUGAAAACAGGUGGCCUCUUCAUUCAGACAAACCCUCCAUUGGGACAACCGAGGUUAGAGCGGGAGUUUGAAACAAGAUGAGGGUUGUACUGGUCGUGGCUCUCGUCCUGCUGUAUGUCUGGCUUCAGAAUGCCCAUAGGUCUGACAUCAACCAACAAGGAAGUGUUUGUGAUCAGAUGGCUGAAAUAUUCAAGACUAGAGAAGAGAAGUAACUCUCAUUCGGUUCCUUUCCAGGUUCUUCCUCUGUCCAUUUCCAGGCUCCUCUUCUCCCCUCUCUCUGUCUACUCCUGGCUGGUCUCUGUGAUGGUUAAACUCGUCUUCUCCUCUCUGGCCAUCAUCCUGUCUUCUCUGUAUUACACUGUCCUGCUCCUGCUGGCCGGGCCCUGCUGUAUCGUCACCUUGUCUCUGUCUGUGGUAUUGUACUGUCUCCAUGUAGUUAUCUAUAUGGUUCACCUGGUGUUGGUGCUCUGUGCUCUGGCAGUGCUCGCUAUGACUCCACACAAAAUGGCUGACGUGAAUGGACCUAAAAUGGCCGCCGGUGCCACUGCUAAUGAACAAACGUUCUACGGCCAACUGAAACUGCAGCUCCAGGAUUCGGACAGAUCUGGGAUCAGUGUUGGGUCGUAAAGGCUUCACAGCAAGGCUGAGGGCACAGUGUUAAGUCUGAAAUACAGUUGAUCAGCCUUUUU
rnacentral:lncRNA from 1 species